rnacentral:rRNA from 1 species
AUGGCCGCCUCUUGCGUUCCCAUUUUCAUCGUCCUCUUGUUCUUGAGUUCAUUCUGCAAGUCCGACGAUGAUACUCUCACGCAAGCAAAGCCGCUCUUCUCCAGCGACAAGCUCGUCUCCAAGGGCGGGGACUUUGCUCUCGGCUUCUUCUCGCCGACGAGCUCCAACACGAGCUUAUACCUUGGCGUAUGGUACAACACCAUCCCUGCACGCACCGUCGUGUGGGUCGCCAACCGUGACAGCCCGAUCGCCGCCUCUUCGUCCGCGACGCUCGCCAUCACAAACAGUUCUGACCUGGUGCUGUCGGACGCCCAAGGCCUCGCUUCUUGGGCGACCAAAACAAACAUCGUGGCUGGAGGAGCUGGAACUGCCGCGGUGCUUCUCGACACGGGUAACUUCGUCCUUCGCUCGCCCAACGGCACCUACAUAUGGCAAAGCUUCGAUCAUCCCACCGACACCCUCAUUCCAAGCAUGAAGUUCGUGGCGAGCUACGGGGCACAGGUGGUUGGGCGUCUCAUUGCUUGGAAGAGCUCGGAUGACCCAUCCUCCGGGGACUUCUCCUGCGGCCUUGAUCCUACCUCCCCAGCCCUUCAGAUGCUCAUUCGGAACGGAUCCAAGCUGUACUACCGAGGUGUGUGGAAUGGCGCGACUGUGUCCGGCGGCACAUACUCAAGCAACGACGACUCCAUAGUGUACCAAGUAAACGUCGGGCAAGGGGGUGAGGUAUCCUUGACCCUCAAUGUCUCCGACGGCUCGCCUCUCACGCGCAUCGUGCUUGAGCACACAGGCAAGUUGACGUCUCUUAGCUGGAUCAACCAGUCAUGGGUAGUCAUCGGUUCACGCCCCGACGCUGCCUGUGGCAUCUACUCCUCGUGUGGACCGUUCGGAUACUGCGAUUUCACUAAGGCAGUACCGGUGUGCCAGUGCCUCGAUGGGUUCCAGCCUAACGGUCUUGACGUUUCGAGUGGAUGCCGGAGAACAGAAACACUGACAUGCAGCAAGCAAAGUCAUUUUGUGGCCUUGCCUGGAAUGAAGGUCCCUGACAAGUCUUUGCAUAUACCCAACAGGAGCUUUGACGAUUGUACCGCUGAGUGCAAUAGCGAUUGCUCCUGUACAGCAUAUGCUUAUCGCAGUUUGAGCAGCGUCAUUGCUAGGGUCAGCCUGCCACGGUGCCUGGUUUGGAAAGGGGAGCUUAUCGACACGGGGACAUACCCUAACUUAGGUGAGAACCUGUACCUCCGGCUUGCCGACACCAAUGGUCGAAAGAAGAAAACAUUGCUAAAGAUAAUACUCCCAAUUAUAUCAUUCUUGUUGAUACUUACAUUUAUAACUCUUAUGAAGAUGUUCAAAUACAGAGGUAAUCGACAAAAUAAAGGGAUCCUAAAGAGACAAAUCCUAGGGCACUUUAGCUCUUCCAGUGAAAUCACAGACAAAAUCAUAGAAUUCCCAUUUAUCAGCUUCGAAGACGUUGUUGCCGCAACCAACAAUUUCUCUGACUCAAACCAAAUUGGAAUGGGAGGUUUUGGCAAAGUUUACAAGGGAAUGAUUGAUGGUGGUAAAGAGGUUGCUAUCAAAAGGCUUAGUGAGGGUUCUAGGCAAGGGAUAGAGGAGUUCAAAAAUGAGAUUGUUCUGUUUUCUAAGCUACAACACAGAAACCUAGUUAGACUCCUUGGUUGUUGCAUUCAUAGAGAUGAGAGACUACUAAUCUAUGAAUAUUUGCGUAACAAAAGUGAUGCCUUCAUAUUUGAUGCUACAAGACAACAUGUUUUGGAUUGGCCUACGCGCUUUAAAAUAAUUAAAGGAGUAGCAAGAGGUCUUCUUUAUCUCCAUCAAGAUUCAAGGUUAACAAUAAUUCAUAGAGACCUCAAAGCAAGCAACAUACUAUUGGACACAGAAAUGAAUCCCAAAAUAUCAGAUUUUGGCAUGGCAACAAUUUUUGGUGAAAAUCAGCAACAAGGAAACACUGCACGGGUUGCUGGGACAUAUGGUUACAUGUCACCGGAAUAUAUGAUGGAAGGUUCAUUUUCUGUGAAGUCGGACACCUAUAGCUUUGGUGUUCUUCUCUUGGAGAUUGUAAGUGGCUUGAAGAUUAGCUCAGCGCAACUCACAAUGAACUAUCCAAGCCUUACAAAUUUUGCAUGGAAAUUAUGGGAAGAUGGAAAAGCAUGCGAGUUGGUCGACUCUUCAAUUUUUGAGACAUGCCCACUCCAUGAAGUUCUACGAUGUAUCCAUGUAGGACUCUUGUGUGUUGAAGACCAUCCGAAUGAUAGGCCACUAAUGUCUUCUGUUAUAUUUAGCUUGGAGAAUGAAAGUGCACUACUGCCAUCACCAAAGCAACCUCUAUAUUUUGCACAAAUAAAUUGCAAAACAAAAGAAACGAGGGAUUAUACGGAGAACUCUAUGAAUACAAUCACUAUCACAACACUACAGGGUCGCUAG